CCCCAGCUGAGUUUGGGGUGAGGGGAGAGCACAGCUCACAGAAGCCAGGUUUACACAGACCACCCCAACCGAGGGGGGAGGAGGAGGUUUCAGGUGUGUAGUGUAACCUCUGGUCAGAGGCAGUGAACACCCAUCCUCUAUUACACAAACCGGCCCGGCUGUGGAACGCCCAACCCCACAGGGCGCAUCCGCGGGACUUUCCCGUGAGAGAGCUGAGGGGGAGUCAUAACCCCCCGAAGUGCUCCCCGGAGGCUUUGCACCCCCGGUGCAGCAGAUCCCGAGUCUGCUGUGAGAGACUGCCCGCCUCCCCCAGGGGGACAUGCCUGGAUAUUGCCUUCUUGCUCGACGCCAUUGGAUUCUAUGCUUUUUGGGGGGACCUUCACCACCAAGAAGACCAGCUGGAGAGGAUUAACGAAUAUCAUCGGGAUCCAUGGAGUGGUGUGAACAGAGUUCAAGCUUUCAGUCUCACCAAAGGAAAAAACAACCUGAUGGUCUUACAGAUGUAUAACAUUAUGAAGCUCAAACACACAGUAAAAACAAUGACUCCCUGGAGUUUUGCAGAGGAAUGGGGAAAACAAAGCUUUCUUCGGAUUUUCUUCUCCUAUGGCCCUCUCUGAACAUGGGUGACAAGACCUGUGUGUGCAAGUACUCUACAUAACAUCUAAUUUUAUGGGUCAUCACAUGUUACUCCAAUGGACAAAGAAAAAAAUCAAGCAGAAGUAGCUGCCUUCAGUACAGAAGAAGACUGUGGAACAUAACAGAAAUGCAGAAAAGCUCCAGUUUUAGUUGGAUGCAAUUUUUCUGGCACUGCACGGUAUUGACUGCAUCCAGUCUUUUUUAGGUCAUUCCAUAGUAGAGAGCUGUGAAUAAAUGGGUUGAAUAAUUGAUUUCAGGCAUUAUGUCCCUUAGAGUUGCAGUCUGACAGAGUUGUGUUAUGUGUUUACCACUUUUUGAACUGGCUUCUUGUUCAGCAGCACCUGUUUGGAGAUUCUUCCUGGCAAUUUUGGACACUUUCCUCAUAGAGAUAUAUCCUACAUCAGUUAAUCUUGGAGACUUAGACUAGUAUUCCUCAGAACAAAGAUAGCAUGGUAAAAUUUGAGUUCCAUUUGACUUUCUUCACAGACCUUUCAUAUUUUGAGGUUUGCCUUUUGAAAUACAAUUUCACCUCUUCUUGGAACCAGAGAAUUGAAGACUAUGCUUAUUUUUUUCAGCUAACAGAACACAUUUCAAAUUAUUUAAUAUUGAAUAAAAUGUUAUUGUCCUCAUCUGAAGAAAUAAGACAGUACAACUAUCCCAGAUUUACCGGCAAUCAAAUGUACUUAACUGCCAUUUGAACCCAGGUCUCUUCCAAUAGUGAAUCCACUCUAUGGAGGAAAAGACGCUCUCAGAGACGUGUGUCUAAAUGUGUACAGUAAGUUCUUCGAGUAUAACUUUCUUUUCUAGUCCUUUAUCCUUAUUAUAACUAUAUUUUCUAGUUCUUUAUCCUGAUGCUCAGUGCAGAAACAAUAGACCCUUGAAAUCUCUUAUAUGGCUGUAGCAUGUUCCCUAUAGACAAGGACAAUUUAAAUGAAUAAAAUAUAAAUGAAAGCUAUAUUGAAUGAAAAAUUAAGAAACCUGUUGCUCGCCAUUACACAAGGACUUACGAAGAAUAGGAUCUAUAAAAAGGCAUAGAUCAUUUAAUGAAAAUGAGAGUGGACAUUGGCAGUGUUCAUUCUUUGCUAAUAUCAGCCAAAGAAUCAUAUUGCUAUUGAAAGAUUUCUAUGGUGGACAGAGAAUAAAGACAUAAGGGGAUACUGUAUUAGUGAACAAGGAAUAAUGUUAUAAGGAAACACAUAGCAAUUCACGGAGAGAACAGGUAAACAGUAGAACUUAUUAGAAAAUUAAAUAUGUUCUUUGCCUCACUGUCCUCUGAGCUGGUUGGUGAUUUGGUGGCAGUGAAUUAGAUGUCCUAAUUUAGUGUAAGAUGAAUUAAGGUUACUGUAAAGGGCAUUCAGCCAAGUAGCUUGAAUGUUCAUGCCUACAUUGCACAGUUCAAUACUUGGCAGACGGAAUUAUCUCCUGUAAUUCAAACUAAUUGAGCAGAGACCCAAGAUCACCACUUUUGGGAGAGCUCUGAAAUAUGGAAAAGAGGAAAGGCUGAGCUUCUGCUGCCUCUUCACAAAGGCCUCAGAGCACACUUACCUGAGGGGUGGAUGGGCAUGUCCUGGGUGUACUGUCCUUUUUAGGGAGAUCUUGUAGCGAUGUCAGCAAUGGGAAGACACGGAUGGUGUUGUACUAUGGAAUACAGACGACUCAAAGUGAGUUAGCCAAGGUCAUUCCAAGAGGGUUGUCAUGUUGCUUAGCCUUGGAUCCAGUGGGGAGUCAGAUGAGGGCUGAGAUUUGCCUUUGUCUCUUUGCAAACUUGGACUUUGUAAAAUUAUAUAAGCAAAUGGUGAACAUGGACAUAUUGCUCUAAAGCCCUGCUUCUAUCAUUGUACAUCCUUAAACUGAGUUGCUGUGGUCUCAGGUGGGCUUCACUAUGCAUUUAUGUUCUGUUUAAAUGUAUUUUAUAUUCAAACAAAUGGCAAUGUAAGUUUUAUUGCUACCAGAAAGCACAAACAGGAGAUUUCUACCUAAAGGAGAUUCCAACUUCCUUAAUAUUUAGCCUAAAAUGAUUCUUCUUUAAUGAAAGGGUUUGGUUGAAGGCUUUGAGUACAUAUAAGUGGUACAUUUCUCCCAAUCAUAACAUUCAUUAUUUUCAAUCUGUAAUAUGCAUAUUUCAUUUAAAAAAUACAUAAAAAUGCUCAAAAUCCUUGAUUACUCAGGAAUUAUGUGCAAUGAAUUUAUGAGAUAAUGUUUUCAGGCUUGUCAAUAAAGCCUAAACCCCCGCUGUGCUGAAGCUUAUGUCAUGUGCUGCACACACAUUUCUAGCACGAUAUUAUGACCUGGCUUUACCUUCCUGCAUUUAACUCUUAUCAAAUGAGUCAUUUAUCCUAUACUAAAAGCACCAAAGGAGCAAAAAGCCGCAAUUGAUAAUAUCAUAAUAAAACAGAGCUGCAGGAAUUAUUUAGAUUGUUAUUUAGAGCAAAUAACAAUCUGCAAGUACUAGAAGAGUCACGUGGAGCACAGGUCUGACUGCUGACUUGGGAGUAGCAUUUGGUUAAAUGGAUGCUCUUCCAGUUAUGUGGUUAGAGGAAAACAUUUUUCGGUACCUCUCAAACACUUUUUCUAAUUUUUGGUAGAAAACAAAACCCAGUGCAUGUCUGCUGAGCAGAAAAUUUAAGCAGCUGAACAUAUACCCCAAAAUUGAAUUGUAGAUGAUUAGCAGAUAGAACCUGGCAACAGAAUCACUGAUGUGAAAGGGGAAAUGUUUUCCAAGAAAGCAAUAUAUUUAGGACGGGGAAGGCAUUUAGUAGACACAGUAAGGAUUCUUUCAUUUAAACCCCACUAUAUGUUUGCACAUUUCAGCUGGUAUAUCUAAUUUGUGAUCAACAUUUCACCUACUCUAUGGAAACAGCUUUGGCAGUUCCAACUCUCCCCAGUCUUAUGACCUCAUCAGACCUCAGGGAUUCAGAGGUCUCUCACGUUUUGUAUGCUGAUAAUUUUGCAGGGGAAGUAAAGCAGUAAAAGAAACAAGCUUCAAGUUACUUUAAAAUACACCCAGAGUAGUGUCUUAUAUCAGCAAUUUUUAUAUCCAGUCCUUAUUUUAAAAUUGCAAAUAAAUAUGCCUUAUAUACUAGAGACUUAAAAGUGAUUGUAGAUGAAGUUUUGGGUCUCCCUUGAUGUACAACUCUCAUUUUGAUAACAAAAGGUAUUAUCCCUUUAAUUUUCUGUAUCUCUUACUACUGUAUCUUAUAGUCUCUCUUUAAAAAUCUGUGUUUGCAGUCUCUUCUCUGUUUUCAUUUCUUUCAAUCACACACAAAUAUUAGUGUUACCUCAAUGAAGGCAAGUCUUCGAUAAUUCUGUCAGAUAAAGAUUUCCUCUUCUCAUUAUGCUGCUUCUAAAUUCUAACAAACAAGAAGUACAGUUAUUUAGCUGUUUACCAGGCCCAAAUGUGUUUCAGUGCUUAAGCAAACACAGUUGGGAGCAUGAUAACUGUAAUGGAGGAAAAAAACAACUCUAAUAUAAGUGAAGCUGUGUUUCUUCCACUCACCUUAAAUUACUACAUACGAGUUAGUUACUUACAAAAUCAUUUUUUUAACAGCCAAAUACAAAAUCCCACUUGUAGUCAUGACUUUUAUAAAUUUUAUAAAUUUUUAAAUAAAUAUUUUUAUUUAAAAAUAAAAGCUUUUUUAAAUUUUCCAUUGUUUUAACAGUUUUCCGUUCAGACACCAAGUAAAUGGUCUAAUUUCUUAGAGUAGCUGUUUAUAUAGACUUAAAUCUAAGCUUAGGCUGUCUAAAUACCUGCAGCAAAAUCUUGUUCUUCUAGUUUCAAACAAUUUUGUGCUGCAGACUUUAGUGGAAAGGGUGGAUAUAUUAAAUGGAUUUAAGAAAAUGCACAAUAUGCUUUGAAAUGCUUUAUACCAUUGCUGAGAAUUUGAUGAUUUUUCAGACUAUUUGCACAGAUUCUGGAAUGGGGACUUGAGGUGGAUCGACAUUAAAAACUCACUAUGAACAACAGAGUUGGAAAGCUACCUGAAACAGGAAUUAUUCUGUAAACUAAGGCGGCUGUCUUUCUCAUCCCACCAAGAAUAGAUAAGUGUGAAUCCAUUUUUCUUCUAAAAAUGCAGAAAUUAAGGUGUUACAGGAACACUGUAGGAAGGAGGCAUGUAGUAAGCAAGUAAAAGAAUCAGAGUAAUUGAAUGUAGCUUGAAAAAAUGUAGAGAAUGACGAGUUGGAGAUCUUUUAUAAAACAAUGCACACAAACUAGGUGGGAAGCAGCAGAUGCCUAGAAAGAAGUGAUAUUAUAGUAGAUAGUGGAAAAGCACAUGUGCAUAUAAUAUUUGUUUUCCUUUCAAAGCUGCCCUUUUAUUCUUUCCCUGGUUUGUAUUAAAACCUGAAGCAUGUGAAUAAUGCAAAUAGGAAAAUGUUGCACUGUAAUGUUGAUUCAGUAACACUUUAUAUGCUCAUUAGCUGUGUACGUUAUAGUGAACUCUCUUACGUGUGACAGCCACAGGAAUGGCAAAUGAGUACAUUAUGAUAAAUGCUGUUAUGAUGAAUACCAAAUGAAUUUCUAGUGACUGCACAUUUCCCAUUUCCCCAUUGAUUCCAUGGCAUGCAAAGUUUUGAUUCUUUUUAAAAAUAGGAUUUGAAGAAGUGAUGUGGGAGGCUUAUUGUAUCGUAACAUGAAACAUGCUUAGCUGGAGCUAAGUUAUUCUCUGAGGCUUCAUGACAAUUUUGUUAACUUUUUAAAACAAGCAACAGGUAAAGAAACUAUUUUCCUAGAAACUGAAAGCAAAUGAAGGAUUAUUCACUUGCACCCCUUGUAAGAUUCACUCGACAGAAGUCCAUGGAUGCUAAUCAGCCAUCAUAAGGAAAAGGAAAUGGGGAUAACUGCUAAAGCAAUAAGUCAUUUUUCAUUUUGCAAACCAUGGCUCUGGAAUGAUGGGAAAAUAGAAGUAAAAAAUUUUAUUGUUGUCAUGCUUGGAUUAAAUGUUGCUUGA